GGUAAUAUGGCUGAGUAAGCAUUAGACUGUAAAUCUAAGCACAGAGGUUUAGCCCUCUUAUUGCCA
ensembl:Mt_tRNA